AGACCCUAUUUCCAAAAAAGGUAAAAAAAUAAAUGAAAUGUGAGGCUUGAGCAGAACCAGCCCCUUCUUUCUCUCUGAGAGGCAACCACUAUUCCUUAGACUACCUAGAGGAGUGCUCUACCUAAUUCUGUUUCUUGUCUCUGAACCAGGCAAUGAGAAUGCAAGAGGAUGUCAGAGACUCUGUCUAUACCACAUUCUCGUUCCCUGACCAGUGGCAGAGGCUAGGCUAACUGGAGACGUGUAGAGAGAGGCAGGGUAAAGACUUUUUUUUUACAUUAAGAGAUGGAUAAAUGAGGAGAGUACUUGCAUUUCAGUUAACGGUUAGAAUUCAGAUGGAGAAAACAUGCCAUCACAUAUAUUUCUGGCUUCUGUGUUUACCAACUCACACAUCUUUAUUUUGCUAGUCACUCUGUUCUCUUUCAAAAGUGCCUUCUUGGGUUCAUAAGGGGUGAACUGAAGUGUUUGCAUUCUAAUUUCAAGAAUUUGAUGUUUUUUCUCAGAAGGGUGCAAACCCUGUUAAACAUACCAUUGGUAUAUGUGUGUGGUAAGCACAAUACUUAUUAGUGUGGAAGUUGUUAAUGAAUGAAAUGUUCAGAUAGUUUCACUCUGAGUCAGUAUUGUAUUCCUAUUUAUCUGUGCAAAGGUACUUUAAACAAAUUUUUGAAAAACAUAAAAAAGGAAGAAAAUGUCCACCACUUGCUGAUAGGCUUAUAAUGAAUACUUGUGAAAUACUCUCCUGCUUCUUUUCCUCCUCCCUCCCCCUUUCCCCCCUCUCUUACACAUACAUACACAUUCAAAGCUGGAUCUCCACCAUCAUUCUCACUGUGAACACUUUGCCAUGUCAUUUGAUGUCCUCUAGCCCUGCAUUAGUGGUUCCAGGCUUUCCCAUGGCAUGGCUACAAGCAUGUUGUAAAAUCAGCCCUGCUUGUUGGAUAUUUAGAUUGUUUCUGGUUGUUUACCAGUAGAAGUAGCACUGCAGUGAGAUUCUUGAAAAACUUGUACACUUGCUUGAUUACAGCCUUCACAUACUUUAAAUAAAUUCCUAGAAGUGUUUUUUGCUGGGUCAUAAGUUUUGGCUGAACUGCCCUGAGCAUGACUUAUUUGUUCUAGAUUUUGGGGUUCAACUUAAAGCAUUUAAAUACAAGGUCUGGAACAACAGCUCUCCUCUCCCACUUUAUCACUUUUUCUACAUUUAGGGAAAGAAGAGACCCUCAAAUGAAUGCACAUCUUAGCAGGGUCUGUCUCUUCAUAACACUGUGUGCAAAGGCAUGGCAGUAAACCCACAAUACUCUUAAAGAGAAGCAGUUUUUACAGCAUGUAUCCUCUGUAUACCUUGAUCAGUGUCCAAAAAACUCAGUGAAAGACAAUAAUUGGACAGCACCCAACCAAAUGUUGUAAUUGUUAAAAACAAUUCAGCCUCAGGGUGCUGCUCACGUGUUCACCAAAGAGCCCCCACUUCUGUGUGAUGCUUGGGACAAGUCAGUGUACAGACCAGACAGGACUCCCCACCCUCACCCCUCAUGAUGCUGCCAUCACAGUUGGUGUCUGUGUAGGUAUGUAUGUGUGGGAGGAGGGUGCAGACAAUAAAUAAUGGACACAAUAAUUUACAUAGUAUUUUAGAAAAUGAUCUAAUUUAUGGGAACAAAAUGGAUAGUAGUGUAAGAGGGAUAGGACAGGGAACUUACGGUGUGAAGUAAGAUAUCAGCCUCGCUGUGAUACUAGUAUAUGGGCCAAGACUGCUGAUGUGUGUGGUAAGCCAAGCAAGGACGCACCAUGGUCCAGAUCCUGGAAGCAUGUCCUGUUCAUUUAAUGAAAGUGUGAAACACGCUCUGCAUACACCUCCAUAAGUAGGGCUAAUCAAACAGAAAGUGAAUUGGUCCCCAAAGGAACAAAAUGCUUUUCAUGAUGAAUGCCAAUUCUUUUUCGCAUACUCACAGCUAAAUAAAAUGUGUUCUACCCUGUGGAAUUAAUGAACUAGUCUUUCUAAAAUGGAAGUAUGGUCCAUGAAAUAUCUAGACUUAACAGUGGUUGUCUAAACUAUGUGAGAAAAGGAUAAAUAAAUUCCAUUCGGAGUUCGGUGAAACUCUAAAACUGAUGAAUUCCUAUAAAUAUUAAAGGUUCAGCCAGAGCAUGUUUCUGAAGCCUUUCUUGUUUUACAGUGGAAGAAACUGAGGCACAGGCACUUUGGGAACUUGUAGCGGAGCCAGAGUGAUCUGCUCUUGAGUUGCUGUGAGCAGAUUCAUUGCCUGGUCCAUAGUGCUGCAAAGCCCUUUUCACAGCAGGUCUUUCCCAGGGCCACCGUAUUUGCACCAGGAACUGAUUGAUGAAUACAUUUCUAAGUAUCAUCCAUUAUGAAAUAAUUUCCUAUUACCUUUCCUUGAAGUGAUCACAGAUUUUCUACAUUUUAAUGUGCUACGUGGCACUGAAUGAAUUACUGAACUUUCUGUUUUCCUUGAGGGAAAAUGUAAUACACAUAUCAUGAAAACCAGAUGAGGGCCAUAAAAGAAAGCUGACUGGAGUUUUGCAAGUCCAGCCAUGUAGCAGAACCCAAAGGGUAGAGUUUACCUUCAAUGUCAGUGAAGAUGAAAUUUUUCAGUUUUGGCCUGAUUUCUUUAUAGACACAACCUAAAUCUUUCUUACUGAAUCUCACUUUGUCAUAUCUUCCCUUCAGAUGACUACUUUCCAAGAAUAUUUUUUAAAGGCAUUAAUACAGCUUUUUAAAUAUUUUAGACAUUGUCACAAAUACCUGUUAGAUAUAGAAUUAAUGAUGAAAAAAAAUCAUCAAAGCUAGACUUUGCCCCUGUAGUAGGUCCGAGCUGCUAUCAGCCGUAUGUUCAAUAAGAAAAGUCCAGAAUCUGGAAAGAACAGUUUCAAGGUGACAUUAAUCCAGAAUUAAAAAACAAAAAAGAAAACAGGCAUUUUUAGAAUUACAAUUAAACCUUCAGUCUUUCCCCACAUUUUUUCAGAUGUCUUUAAUUUGUCAUUACUUUUCAAACUCAUCAUUUUCUUUCUCUUAAAUUAAAAUCUUACCCCUCUUUUAAAGUUUAAUGUCUAACUCAAAAUUUUAGCUUUAUAGAUCUGAAAUGCAUCAUAACUUUUAGCUUCUCACCCCCUCUCCCCUUUCAGAAGCUUUCUUACCAUGGUUUCUUUCAAUCAAAUUGUUAAGCAGUAGGAAGGUGGCUGUAGGAGAGACCAGGAGGUCAACAUGUUAGGGGAUUUUAUUGCCUUGGAAGUGUGCUGUUGUAUUAUACACAAUGCAUAUAAAUCUCAGAAACCCUCUCUAGUUAGCAUGAUCUCUGUGUUAGAGAUGAAACAUACAUCCCCAGAUGAAAUUGCCCAUGUCUCACAGCAUGUAGGCACAAUGGUGAUAUCUACAUCUCAGCUAUUUUUAAUGCAAAGCACACAAGUUUUCAGUCUUUCCUUUCUCUUCCCUUAGCUGCUAUUACCUUGGGUCAUUUUCCUUAGAUUGGGUUUUAAAAUUUUGAGUUGGAUUGUAGCUUUGUGUGUGUGUGUUUCGAAGUGUUUCCAGAAAAUUCCCUUCAUUGCUUUGCAUAAUUCCUACCAGAGGGCCAUACCCAUAUCCAUCCCAUCUUUCUGGGAGCUGGCAGUCAAGGUAGAGGCUAAAUAAAAACAGUCAUCCAUUGAACAAUGAUUUACUGAACAAAACACAUGUUCUGAAACUGCCUGGUGCUGAGGUUGGGGUGGGGGUGGAAAUGAGACUUCCCCUGCCUCUGUCCUGUGGACAUACAGCUUGGUGGACAAAGAGACAUGGAAAUUAGAGAUGUGGUAGACAAGGAAAAGGGGAAACAACAGGUGUGUGGAAGAGGGAGGGUUACAAAUUAAAUUCCAGGUCAGUGGAAUGAACUGAAGAUGCAUUGGGUAUACUUGUUGCAGGUAUUAAACCUUAAGCAGUGAGUAAAAAAUUAUAAUAAAAGAGAUGUGGGCAUUGCAUAUGGGACUGUGUUGUUUAUGCAGUUUAAUUAAAUUCAUUUUCUCUUACCUCGCUCUCAAUAAAAAUGGGUUAUUUCUGUUAACCUGGCCCAAUAAGAGUUCAUAAUAUUCAGAUUCACAUUCUAUCUUAAGUACAGACUGGGACCAUAAUAGUUUUAUAUGAACAUUAUUAAUUAAAGUAGGGUGUUAUAAUUGUUAUCACACCCCUCCUCAAAUAACAAGCUUUAUUUGGGAGAAAGCAGACAUUUACUCAUACUUACCCUUUUUUCCCACUUGGCAGAAUCCUCUAACUUGAAAAAUAAUGGAGCAGUCUCAACAAAUGUGCUUGAAAAUAUAUUAACUUUUUAGCAUUCAGCUCCAAGUUUCAACCAAGUUCUGUGAAAAGAACCGAUGGGCUAUUUACCCACUGUCCUCUCUGCAUAGGAUAUGGAAGCAGCUAUUUCUGUUUAUAAAACUAUCAUACAUGAUACUCAUGGUGCUAAAACAAAUUGGUGGAGAAACUGAUAAUAACCUUCAUAUUGACUGUUCCUGUGACAGAGACUAGGGAGUAUAGACUAAUAUAUGAAAGUGCGUAACAUUUGAAUAUUCUUUGGAAAGAGUUGAUCUGCCUGCAAGUAUGAGAAGCAGCACGAGCUGUGGAAGAUGUUAUAGAGUGACUGUAGCUACCUAUUCAUUCCUGGGGCUUUCUAAUCACUCUUUGGACUGUCAGUGUUAAAUAUUGUUCAUCUCAAGUGCUUCCAAGUAUGAAUUUUUUGGCUAGCAUGUUGAAAAUCAAUCUAGUUGAAAUGGGUUAUUGCAUUUAAUUUAUGAUAUCAUAGACAUGAAAAUCUAUUUUAAUUGAUUUUUCCUCAGUUACUCUGUGUAGAGAAUUUUGGCCUUUUAAGGUUCUAUUUUGUGGUUAAGAGGUAAUGAAAGUCAUCUCGAGGGUAUGGCUGUUGUAGAUAGCUUACACGCCUACAGCUCUCCCCAGUUUUUAAUUGCUUUCCCAAAGAUGGGUGUUGAAGCCAGCUCCCUGAUUUAUGACUAAGUGACCUGGGGCAUGUCCCACUUUCUUCUUCUGUGAAAUAGUAAUACUAGUAAUACUUACCUUUUAGGGUUAUUGGGAGGCUCAAAAGCGAUAAGGAUCAAACAAGAAUUAAUAGUCAGUACUUCGCAUAAUUCCUAGCACCUAUUAAGCAAAUCCUUUAGCAACAUUGGCUAAGUACUGUGGGUUUAGGAUCAUCCUGGAAAGGAGGUGUGUUUGCUUACCCUCAUUUUACAGUUGUGACCACAGCAACAGUGACAGUUAUAAUGCAUCCAUGUUGCUGAGCAGGUGAAGUGCUAAGUGCUCAAUGUACAUUAUUUCAUCAGCGUUCUACAACCACUGUUAAAAGGGGAUUUUGUUGUUCUGUAGAAGAGAGUGAUUCAGCAGUGUGACCAGACUCCCCCAUGUAGGGAUAUGCCAUGCUAGAGAGUUAACCAGGACUGGCUGAAAUGCCCUCUUUCCUUGUCAGUCCUGCUGCUGCCCAUAGGGACAGGAGCUUGCAUUCUGUGGGGUUCCCUCAGGGAGGAGACCACAUGCGUCCUCCUAGGGGACCUGGAGGAGAGUUUGUGUUCUUUGUCUGAGUUCACUGCGGCUGGACUAUUCUGUGUCCCAGUUCUCUUAACAUGCAGGAGCUAUUAAAAACAAGACCAAAAAACCCUCAUAGCUAUAUUUUAUGUUUAUUGAUAGGUAUAAAGGGCAAAUGAUACUUGUUUUUUAUUUCAAGCCAUGACAUAAGUGACUUUUAAAAAUAUGAAAUGAGCACUAAUCCUGGUGGCCUGCAGCUGUGGCAGAACAUUGUCCAGGUGGUAUGUGGGUGACUGGAUUUGGGGAAAUACUGUUGCAUAUCAUACACCUCUGAAUUUGUGGAUUUCUCUCUUACUUUCUCCAUUUAUUUUUUUAUUUUUAGCCAAACUUCCCCUUUCACCUCCUGCUGAAAAAUAGCAAUGUUUGUGUGGAAUAUGCUCCAACCUAACCAGAGAAUUCGGUUUUCAACAACCUCACUGGAUCAAAUAAUCACAUUGAACCAGACUGGAGAGGUGGGGGUGUUGCUCACUGUCUCACCCUCCCCCAACAUCCCUUGCGAGACCUUUCCUUCAUCUGUGAGUGUUAUUUUAAAGUUUAGGUGGAUUGCUUAGCCCCACUCCCUGAAUGUCAGCAAAAGUGUAACCAGCAAGUUCAAGGGCUUUGAGGGAGGAGGAGAAAGAUCUUGCUCCAGAGGCUGUCUCUGACAUCUUGAAAUGACCAGUUGCUUUCUUUUAAAGCUUCUGGUUUCUAAUUUUAUCUGGAAAUCCCUAGGCUUGUGGGUUAAAGGGGAAUACACUGAGACAGGAGGAGGCAGAAAGCAGAGCAUCUUGGAACCUGGAGCCACUUCUCCCAAGUCUGCGCUUAGCCAGCAGCAGGUACAGUUCCAGAGAAGGAAGUGGACCCCUGAAGAAAGAUACAUUUUACCUUCUUCUUGGACUUACCUGAGGCAGGUCAGAGCCCAAUAUACUGUAUGAAGUGCCUGUUGCAGCCUGGUUGUUUUCUGCACUACAGAAGGCUUUAGGUAUAUUAGUGAGAACCACUACAUCAUGAACUGUAGACACAGAUGCAGUUUAUAGCCUUAAUUUACUUAGUACUUAGAUGCAGGCCGCUUUUGACUGUCUUUCAUUCCCUUGCCACCUGGCCUAGAAGCAGUCUCAAGGCUGCCUCUCAUUGUCUUCCUCCACACCUCAUUUCCUUGUCCCUAGCUCCAAGCCUUUCCACUCAUCCUGUUUUAAUGUCAAUGAAACAAAAACACCUGCCAACAAACUCCUAACCAAGUUCUUUGCACUAAGAGCAGUUUAGUGAUUGGAUUCCUAUAUGUGCUUUCAUUUGGAAUGAAAUUUUCAACUCCUGGGAGCACUGCAAAUAAAUAUAAAAUAAGUAGGCAUCUCUGCCAUUAGCCAUGUUAGAGAAUACAUAAGCAUUUAUUUCCCUUAGGGGUAAGUCAGGCCUCAAAAGAGAUAAUAAACACAGUAAGGUUCAUUUCCUUUUCUGUACCCAUCACCUAGUAGGUAUCAGCUGCUAUCCCUUGCUUGUGAAAACAGAUACUUCAUUGUACAGGCAAACAUCUGCUCACCACCAUUACUGCAUUUUUGUUUUUGUUCUUCAGCUAGCUUAGGCUAAGUGGGGUGUUAAAGUGUUGUAACAUCGUCAGGAUUAAACCCCAAGGGAUGAAUACAAAACCUUAUUCUGUUGUGCUUUCUAACACAUUCUGCUUGCUCUUCCCUUCCUCCCCUCUGCAGUGCCUUUGUGAGAAUACUCUGGUGACCUGGAAAACCCUCACUCUCCUCCUAGCCAGAUCUUCCUUUUGCCAGACUCUGCCUUGGGCUUUGUGUUCUUUUCACAUUGGUCCUUACCCCUGGAAGAGUUCACUAUCAGUGUGCCUGGGUUGGUUUCUCUGUAACCUUAUGCCCCUUUCACAUGUUUGUGUGUUGUACCUAUACACAGGCUGCUUUGCCGUUAAAAAUACAGACAUAGGACUCAGAAAUGUUAAAAGUCUGAGUGUGCCCUUAGACUUUGUCUCUGUUUCUCGGGACUUCAGUGUCUCUGUCAGUGAAAUGAACGAUUAUCUCUUCCCUGCCAGUCACAUACAUUUGUGGUGAAGAACUAAAAGUAGUGAUGUGUGUCAAAAUGUGCUUUUUAAUUUGUACCUCAGUGAGUUAUGCUUGUAUUAUGAGUUUUUUAAAUUCAGAAGUGUUUUUUAUGUUAGCACAUGGCAAAUUUGAUUACAUGUAGUGUUCCCUGCUUCUGUUGCUCCAGGGAGUUGAAAUUUACAAUUGAAAUGACAGCAAAAGUGGAAGAAAUGUAUUUUUGGUUUUUAAGCUGCUGAGAACUUAGAUGCUAGAAGUGUAAUGGUAUUUUGACAGCGAUUUUAGGAAUGUUCACAGGUAAUGUUGACCAUAUGUAAUUUGAGCACUGACCACAACCAAACCACGGUGCAUUUACGUCGUAUGUCAUGAGCUACAAUUAUUUAGCUCAGUGCUGAGUGGAUGUUAAGAAUAGUAUGUAACACAAGGAAGUUAUAAGAUUAACAAACAAGUAUAGUAUUUGCUAUUUAGAAAAAUUUGGACAUUCAUGCUACUUAUUAUUUGAUUUGAAGGAACUACCAAACCCAUUCCUUAUUAGCUCUGGAAUAAAAUAAAACAUUAAACAUAGUGUACAUGAGGUCAUUUAGGGCAUAGGCAAUGUUCUGUCAAGAUUUCAGUUGCUCUCUUUCCUAUGGCCAUUUAUGGAAACACAUACACACACACCCUGGAGAAAGUCCAGUAUUGCCCAGAUAAGCAAAAAACCUCAAGUUGUCCUAUUGAAGGAGUUUUUUCUCUCAUGGUAACUGGUCUUUGAUGUUAAAGAAUCAUAACUUUCAUAUUUGUCUACUCAGGUUGUAAAUUCUGUAGUUCUAUUGUAGAUCAGAAGAGAGUGAUAUUUUUAUAGCACAUUUGAACAACUGACAUGUCCAUAUCACCUCACCUGGGAGCUGAUGGUGGUGGAGUGGAACUUGGGAACAAAGCAAUGACUGUGCAUAUAGAGAGGAAAACAAGCAGCAUGUGAAUACCUUCCCUAUGAAGAAGAUAUUAAAAAGGAGCAGAAAUGCCCACAGCUGUUGAAGACUCCUUGAGUUUCGUAAAAGACUGACACAUAUCCCUUCUCCUAAAAUAGAACAAAACAACACAAAUGCUGUUUGCGAUUUAGAGAAACAGGGAGAAAUUUAAGCCAGUCUGGCUGUUUUGAAAAUGACUUUUCUUAGACAGGUGUGGUGGUGCAUGCCAUAAUCCCAACUGCUCAGGAGGCAGGAUCACAAUGUGAGGUGGAGACCAGC